rnacentral:lncRNA from 1 species
UCCUUGUAUGUAGUCCAACUAAAACUACCAAAACUAAGAAAAGGCAACUAAUUAAAAUAAAGGAUAUAUGCACUACCAAAAUAAGAAAAGAAAGUUUGUAUCAUGUGCAGUGGCGAAGCCAAGAUGCAGGCUAGAGGGGAAAAGAUAAGACAAUUAUUUAAGGGGGUUUGCCUAAUGGAAACUUGUUUUUCUAUUACAUAUCAGCUCAAGGGAUCAAGUCCAACUGAUCAUCUAAACUAAAUCAAAGCGAUUUUGACACCACUCCUCCUUAGCUUUUAAUACAAGUUACGAUCUCAUUUCAUACGUGAUUAGUUUCUUCAAAUAAAAUAUGAAUUGAAAAGAGCAGAUUAUUAUAUUUCCUAAGGUUUUACAAAAUCACAGACAUUCCAGCACUAGUGUAUACAUUCAAUCCAACAAAUAUUCAACCUUAGAACUAUUAUCAAAUGGAAGUGACAGGCGAUGAUCCUGUAUAAGCCUUGAUCAGCUACAAGCUGUCAAUGAGGUUUUCAAGCAUUCAAUUUCAGAAGUUGCAGAGCAAGAACCCCCCCGGACGGAUGCACCAUUUGAACAUUAAAGAGACCAAAUAGAGACUGUCUACAGUAGAUAAUACAUGGAAGAGAGAACAAGAUACUGAAAACGAAAACUGAAAGGAAGGUUCAAAGAAAGAACACUUCCAUCAAACCGUCUAAAAACACGGCAAACGACGUUCUCACAGAACCCAGGCCAAUUCCAGUAGAGUAGCAAAUCAAAUACACCACUUUCAGAUGGACGUGCUCAAAAUCCUUCCCAUGUCCUGGAAACUAAUAGUGGAGGAACAUGGCAAGUAAUCUGUAAUGAACCCUGUACAUCUACACCUCCUAAGCCUCCAGUUUUUUAUCUGGAGUUCCAUGACAGAGCAUUAUAAUAAGCUCCCCCAUUUGAAAAAAAGAAAAGGGAAAAGGGACGAAGAAAAAAAAAAGAUGGGUGUUUCAACAUAAUACAGAUAUUCUCCCCAUGAAGCAGUUCAAAAGUUCUGAGGGAAGAGACAGAAUGAACAAGAAAAUCUUAACUCUCUAAACUGACUCCGAUCACAACAUGCCCUUGCCCUUUAAGCUUUUCUUCACUGCACAAGGCUGCUCCUAAUUCGAUUGAGUGUGGAAGCAUGCAGGCAACACAUCCACCAGUAUCACUAGUUCCUGACACUUGCUUUUUAAGAAAUCCUUUUUCUCUAGCUCUGUCAAAUUUCACCAUGAUUCUGCAUCAACUCAGAACAGAUUCAGAAUUCACAUGACUGCCACUGCCGCCACCCUGACUAUUAAAUCCCAUUACAGGCAUGGAGCGGUGUGCAAAAUCCAGUAACAGCUUUUUCUGGUGCUCAUUGGUAUGUGGAAGACUUGCACGCAAGAGCUCGACUGGCAUCUCUCUACUGAUGGCUCUAGCUGCAUCUGCCCCCACAGCUGUCAUGUUUGAAGAGGCCUGCAUGAGCAAUGACUGCAUUAUACUAUCAUAUUUGUUCAAGCAGUACUUGGUAAGAAGGCCAAAGAAUUCGUCAAAAGAGGCCUGCCACAGGGCUCGAUUAUUCAUAUUGCAGUUGCCAGCAACAUGAGGAUCGGUUAAAAUUUCAGUUGCCCGUUCAAGCACAGAUUUUAGUAUUACAGAAGCUCCAUCACCAGCAGAGCUUCCAAGAGGACGAAGGGGAGGCUGCUCUGAUGAACAAACCACUGCUGCAAAACAAGCACUUAGAGCACCGAGAUCCAUUCCACGAACACAUGAGGAAACGACCCUUGAGAGGUUAGUGGUCGUUUCAGCCGCUCCAGAAUCAGAGGGUAGGCCCCCAAAUAAAAACCUUAAAUGGCGGAAAAUGGCCAUGCAGACUAUUCGGAUGAGCUCAACGGCUGGAAAGAGUAGCUGGAGAUACUUUGAGAGAAGCUUCCUACCUUUGGGAAGUGAAACUAACCGUAGGAACACAAGAUCAUCCUUGGGAGCCAGCCCAACGGUGUGACCAGGUUUCCCAAGUGGGUCAACCAACUGAAGUGAUGCUGCGAGCCCUUCCAGCAGGUUCUGCCGUCUCCGCCUCAACUGAGUCCCACCAUCCUGGAGCUGAUUGAAUUGUAAAAACCGAUCUAUGUCAUCCACAUCAAGGAGAAGACAAAGACCAUCCUCAAUAGUGACUCUUGCUGCAAGCAUCGGUUCCUGUUCCAGAGGCUUCUCAGAAACUUUCUGUUCAGUGCUGCCAGCAACAGAUGAAUUUGGAGGGUCAACUUCAAGAAGAGGACGGGGUCUGCGGAUGGAUGAGAAUGGAACCCUUCCAAGAGCAUCAACCUGGAGAAAAGCAUGUGGCUCACUGUUUGCACGGGCUCGGGGAGGGAGUUCCCUCAGGUGAGUUGGGCAGAAAUGGUGCUUCAAUCUUGCUCCAGCAGAUUUUUUUGCAAGACAAGCCUGAUGGUAAUAAUCAUCCACAUAUGGAUCAUUACUGUGUGUUGCAGCAAGCUGCAUUCUAAGGAUACUUUCGAUUUCAUCAGCUGUCAUAUACUUGGAUCUGAACUGUGGCCACCCAACAUCACUCUUCUGACUGCUAGUAUCAAAGCCCUGUUGAGAAAACCGAUGAUUCGGUCUACCUUUUUGCAUUGACUUGGGUCUUUGAUCCCUCAGAUCACCUAUCCCAAGCAUUGCUUCAUAUUUGUUCAUGAUGGGUGGAGCUGGGGAAAGAUGGGGAUUAAAUAGUUGGGACUGCAGCCCUGAUAAAUGACCAAAUGAAGGCUGAACUGGAUGAUGCAGUCUAUGCUGCUGUGGCUGCUGUUGCAGCAUUAACUGUGGAGGCAUUAGCCCAUUUUGAUGAGGUAAUUGUUGUUGUAACAAAUUGUUCAAGAUACUGGGAUGAUCUCCAGGAAAUAUGUUGGUUUGGUUGACCCAUUGGCUUGGUGGUCGGCUAUUAACAGAGAGACCAGGAGCAAACUGAGGUAAAUUUCCACCAAAUUGGGACCCAUGAUGCAAGCUGGGCAAUUGAAGCUGAGGGUUGGAAAAGGGAGGGAGGUUUGAUGGAGAUAAUGCAAUCUGGGGUCCGCCGGAAAGAUGAGAGAUGUGGCGUGAAUGAUGAUUUGGUGAACCCUCCAGGGAUCUGCCCCCUGUGGGAGGAUAAGAAGUAAAAGAAGAUUUUGGCACUAGAAUUGGUUCGCUAGAGUAGUGAUGCUGCUGCUGCUGAUGCUGCUGGAGCUGCUGUGGCUGCUGCUGUUCAGGAUAUGAUGAAGUUCUGUACAGAGGCUUCAAUUCUGAGAGAUGGGCAGAAGAAGCAUGGGGCUGUGAUGACCAUCUUUUGCCAUCCUGAAGGCUUUCAGUCUCAAACAUAUGUUGAUCAAACCAGUAAUGUAGAUCCUCUUCCUGUGCCCAUUCAGCAGCUGAAGAACCUGAAAAGAACAUUUCAGGAAACUUUGAUCAGUUGCAAUAUGACACCCAGGAAAAAAAAAAAAGGAAGCAUAUCAUCAGGCUCCAAGAAUUAUUCGCUGAAUGUCAAUAUGAUACAAUUGCAGAAGAUAGAGGCAGAUAUAGUGGUAUACAUUUGACAGGUCCCACUCAGAGGAUCUCCCUGAGGACCCUAACCCACAUUUUACCUCACAUACAGCAAGAAAACCCAUUCUGAAGAGUGGGAGACCAACUAGAAGAUAUGCAAUGCCAUCAGGCACACAUUUAACAUCUCCAUGGAAAUACCAUAAAAUGAGUGGACAAUAUAUCACUUGCAAAACAACCAAGUAAAUAAGCAAAUUAGCCAAUUUAUACCCCCAUUCUUAUAUCACACUAAAACACUACUUACUAGGCUUGCCUGAGGCUUCAGGAAUCCCCUUUUAGAUUUGAGAACAUAUGAAAAAGGAGGAUCAGUUUGAAGUUAUGACUAGGCGCUAGAGGGGUAGUGAUAAUUUUGUGGGUGUUCCUUUAUGCAGUGGGAUCCAAAGAAAAGAGCAUAGUUGUGAAAGGCGCUCCUAGGCUCGGGGCGGCGCGACACCCCUUCACGAAAGCGCUGCUUAAGCCGCAAGGCGCUCACCUCCGACAAGGCGAUAUGCGGUCAUCUAACUCGCCUCCGGCCAAGUACGCCCUCCGACCCCUCCUUCUCCUUCAGUCCGUCAGGUUGCAGAGGGUUGGGGCUGAGCCCUAAUUUCUUUUUUACUUUAUGGGUCCAAAAUGACGUCGUUUUGGCCCUUUUAAUUUUAAAAGGAACAGGCCAAAACGACACCGUCUUGGCCCUGUUUUCCUUUCCAACCCCCUUUUCUGGUAUUUUUCAACUCGACACCACUCCCAAUCGUGCCCUAGCCUCAGUUGUGCAAUGGAGAAGUGAAGAAGAAGAAGAAGAAGAAGAGGAAAAAUAGGAGAAAAAUAGAGGGAAAAUAGUCACGUACCUUCCAUUAGGUGCGCCUUUCACAACUAUGAUUUGCAAUAUGGAUUUGGAUUUGUUUUUAUGCUUGGAGUUCUUUAUUUUAUUUUUUUUGUUGAUUAAAUUGAAGUUGUGGAUGAUAUUUGAUGAUUUAUGUAUUUAGGACAAAUAAAUUAUUGUUAAAUUUGAUUAUAUUAUAUAAAAAUAUAUAUGUAAAUUAAGGUACGCCUCACUUCACUAAAGCCUGCGCCUUAAGCACGUCUUGCGCCUCAGGCUCCAGGACUACUUUGCGCCUUGGUGCGCUUUGAGACUUUUAAAACUAUGGGAAAGAGAAGGACCUCUAAGGACUUAAGGCCUAGAAACUUGGCCUUUGAGGAAUGCAGCCACUAGCAGAUUAUAAGGAAGCAAGUUGGGGGUGAAAAUCUAGAGCCACGUGGGAUAAGGAAGCUAAUUGGAACACCAAACUUUUUUCAAUGAAUUGCCAAAAAGCCUACAGAAGAUGAAUUAUCUGAGCAAGAUUAAAGUUGAUGGGUGUGGUCAUAAUAAUUAAUGAUAACAAGUUGGGGCUCUCAUGUUUCUUUCAGCAAGUAUACUGAGAUACAGGAGUUUGAUAGCAUCAUUUUGAACCUGCUCCAUGUAACAUAGGUCUUCAAGAGCUAAUCUAGUCAUGGAAUGGUUGUCACAGGAUUUGUAGCUAUGACCAUAACAAAAGAUAAAAGGACAAUUUGAAGGCUAGCAUGAAGACAAUCGAACUCGUAACAUAUACAUAUACAACUUUAUUUUUAUAAGAAAAGAUAUAUUGAAGCACUUGAAAAAAGGUGCUAAAAAGUAUGCACGGAGUAAACAAAUUGGGCCCAAAAGCAAACCAAAAAAGGAAAAGAAGAGAAAAACCCACCACCCUAACAACAAGCAGCCCUAACCAACAGAAAGAAAAGCAGAAACAACCCAAACAACAAGGCUAAACAAUAGAAAAACCCUACAACUGGAAGCACCCUCUUUCCUCAAUCCCCAGCACCACUCCCCUUUCCUCUAGCAGUGAACGGAGAGCUAUUGUAGUUAAUCAAGCACUCUUAACUUUCGCAUUUCCCUCUUGAAACGGGAAGAAGACCUUUUCUUACCCCCACAACCUCUUCUUUACUCCAAUUUUCUGACAAUAGCACAAAUUUCCUUCUCAAAGCCCGCAACUGGCAUCCCCAAACAAUUACUGAACUCAACAAAACCACUAGGAAGGCUAUUAAAAUCCUCUCCCUCCAAGGCACCGAAGUCCACAUCCCUUUAACACUCCAACUCCUCGGCCCUAGCAACCAUCUCCAUACCAGAGGGCUCCUUCAUAGUCUUCCCCGAGAGAUCCAGCAUGCUGUCAUCCUGCAGCACCAUCAUUAGCGGCUGACAUCGAGGACUUCGAGGACCCAAGGAAAGGGGGGAAGGCCCAGAUUGCCCAUUCGCCUCCGCCACGAGUGCCUCAUCUGUAAUCGCAGCUCAAGAAGUUAACGAAUCCAN